rnacentral:rRNA from 1 species
GAUGAACGCUGGCGGCGUGCUUAACACAUGCAAGUCGAACGGUGAAGGCGGAGCUUGCUCUGCUGGAUCAGUGGCGAACGGGUGAGUAACACGUGAGCAAUCUGCCCCUGACUCUGGGAUAAGCGCUGGAAACGGCGUCUAAUACUGGAUACGAGCUGCGAAGGCAUCUUCAGCAGCUGGAAAGAACUUCGGUCAGGGAUGAGCUCGCGGCCUAUCAGCUUGUUGGUGAGGUAACGGCUCACCAAGCCGUCGACGGGUAGCCGGCCUGAGAGGGUGACCGGCCACACUGGGACUGAGACACGGACCAGACUCCUACGGGAGGCAGCAGUGGGGAAUAUUGCACAAUGGGCGAAAGCCUGAUGCAGCAACGCCGCGUGAGGGACGACGGCCUUCGGGUUGUAAACCUCUUUUAGCAGGGAAGAAGCGAAAGUGACGGUACCUGCAGAAAAAGCGCCGGCUAACUACGUG